AAUGAACGCUGGCGGCGUGCUUAACACAUGCAAGUCGAGCGGGAAAGUUUCCUUCGGGAAGCGAGUACAGCGGCAGACGGGUGAGUACAACGUAGGUAACCUACCCUCGAGACCGGGAUAACCUGUCGAAAGACGGGCUAAUACCGGAUAAGACCACAAAGGGCUGCGGCCUUUAGAGGUAAAAGAUUGGCCUCUGCUUGCAAGCUAUCACUUGGGGAUGGGCCUGCGCGCCAUUAGCUAGUUGGUGAGGUAACGGCUCACCAAGGCAAAGAUGGCUAGCUGGGUCUGAGAGGAUGGCCAGCCACACUGGGACUGAGACACGGCCCAGACUCCUACGGGAGGCAGCAAGUGGGGAAUAUUGCGCAAUGGGCGAAAGCCUGACGCAGCGACGCCGCGU
rnacentral:rRNA from 1 species